UAGCAGGGCUUCACCAAUGUCUGUGAUACAUAUAGCUGAAGUAACUGUUAACUAAAAAACUAUUUGAAAUUAUUUUGUAUUUAAAUUUAUUUUUGUAGAUUUACAGCAAUGAGCUUUUCUGUUACAGUCGUCAAAGCACGUACUUUCUACCAAAGAAAAAGUUCUAAGAGACUCAACUAAAAAAAAAAAAAAUUAAAAAAGUGAAUGUCAAGUGUAGGGGACGCGCUGAUAUUGGAACGUUUGUAGAACGGAAAUAGGAAUACGUUGUACGGACCUUAUUUCCGGUUGUGCUUCUGGCGCCUGAGAAACGAAUGUUAGUCGUUUGUGCUUUCAGCGGGCAUUGAAAUUAAAAAAAAGUGGGCACGGUGGCUACACCUGACUGAUUGAAAUGAAACCCAUCCUACUACAGGGCCACGAACGGUCCAUCACUCUAAUUAAGAACAACGGAGAAGGUGACCUUCAGUUUUCCGUCGCUAAAGACCCAGUGGCCAACGUGUGGACCGACUCGGUACUUAAAACAGAGGCACGGGAGCUGUACAGUGCGUCGACUGUGACUGGGACACCAAAAAUGUCUUGACAGGAUCAACUGUCGACUGUGAGACCAGAGGGUAAAAAUAAACUGGAUGUGAUAAAAGUUUCUGAAUCCCUCAGGAGUUCCAGCACCAAAACAACAAUAAAAAUGCACAAAUAGGUAAAAUACAUUAAAAUACACAGAUGAGUAGCAGAACAUUGUCAUUGAAUAUGGGAAAUCUGAACAGUGGAUGUUAGUAGAAGUAGAUGGAUAGAUUAGUGUUAGUAGAAUUAGUAGGUAAAUAUUGUUGCCAUGUGUGUUGUUGAUUGCAAUCUCAAUAAUAUAUAUUAUAUUUUUGGUAUACUAUUGUUCUAAAUUAAAUUAAUAUGAUGUGUAUGUAUAAUAAAGUAUACCACAUACCUAUGAUAUUUAUAAUAUGCAGUGUAAAUAGUUGAGUAGUGAAAUAAUGAAAUUAAAUAAACAGAUAGCUAUCUAGGUCGUUCCAGCAGGCACCUGUUUAAAUGUAUUUUGGAUAAUUUUCUGUCUGUUUUAUAUUUUGGUAUUUAAUUUGUGCUCUGUGCAACGUAAACUAGUUAAUACUGUAACAGAAACAAGACUGCAGAUAGUACACAGCUUCCCGAGUACUGCUAAAGAAACAGUUUGCACACAGUAUUAUAGAAAUGAAAUAAUGAAGGAAAUAAUGACUUACAGACAGACAGUAUCUGUUGUAGAGCUUGU